rnacentral:rRNA from 1 species
UUCUGGUUGAUCCUGCCGGACCUGACUGCUAUCGGAUUGGUACUAAGCCAUGCGAGUCAUUGUAGCAAUACAAGGCGGACGGCUCAGUAACACGUAGUCAACCUAACUCGUGGACGUGGAUAACCUCGGGGAACUGAGAAUAAACCACGAUAGAUCAUAAUGCCUGGAAUGGCUCAUGGUCCAAACAGCUUACUGCCAUGGGAUGGGACUGCGGCCUAUCAGCUUGUUGGUGAGGUAAUGGCCCACUAAGGCGAUUACAGGUACGGGCUCUGAGAGGAGAAGCCCGGAGAUGGGUACUGAGACACGGACCCAGGCCCUAUGGGGCGCAGCAGGCGAGAAACCUUAGCAAUGUGCGAAAGCACGACCGGGUCAGUCCGAGUGAUUCCUGAUAAAGGAGUCUUUUGCUUGUCCUAAAAGCACAGGUGAAUAAGGGGUGGGCAAGUCUGGUGUCAGCCGCCGCGGUAAUACCAGCACCUCGAGUGGUCAGGACGUUUAUUGGGCCUAAAGCAUCCGUAGCCUGCUUUGCAAGUCUUCGGUUAAACCCACCUGCUCAACAGAUGGGCCGCUGGAGAUACUACAAAGCUAGGGAGUGGGAGAGGCAGACGGUAUUCAGUGGGUAGGGGUAAAAUCCUUCUGAUCCAUUGAGGACCACCAGUGGCGAAGGCGGUCUGCCAGAACACGUUCGACGGUGAGGGAUGAAAGCUGGGGGAGCAAACCGGAUUAGAUACCCGGGUAGUCCCAGCUGUAAACGAUGCAAACUCGGUGAUGCAUUGGCUUAUUGCCAAUGCAGUGCCGCAGGGAAGCCGUUAAGCUUGCCGCCUGGGAAGUACGGACGCAAGUCUGAAACUUAAAGGAAUUGGCGGGAGAGCACCACAAGGGGUGAAGCCUGCGGUUCAAUUGGAGUCAACGCCGGG